rnacentral:rRNA from 1 species
AUCAACUUUCGAUGGUAGGAUAGAGGCCUACCAUGGUGGUAACGGGUAACGGGGUGUUAGGGCACGACACCGGAGAGGGAGCCUGAGAAACGGCUACCACAUCCAAGGAUGGCAGCAGGCGCGCAAAUUACCCAAUCCCGACACGGGGAGGUAGUGACAAUAAAUAACAAUACGGGGUUCUUUAGGAUCUCGUAAUUGGAAUGAGUACAAUUUAAAUCUCUUAACGAGGAACAAUUGGAGGGCAAGUCUGGUGCCAGCAGCCGCGGUAAUUCCAGCUCCAAUAGCGUAUAUUAAAGUUGUUGCAGUUAAAAAGCUCGUAGUUGAAUUUCGGGGUUAGUAGGUUGGUCAUGCCUCUGGUAUGUACUGGUCUCACUGAUUCCUCCUUCCUGAUGAGCCGUAAUGCCAUUAAUUUGGUGUUGAGGGGAAUUUGGACUGUUACUUUGAAAAAAUUAGAGUGUUUAAAGCAAGCUAACGCUUGAAUACAUUAGCAUGGAAUAAUGAAAUAGGACGUUCGAUCCUAUUUUGUUGGUUUCUAGGAUUGACGUAAUGAUUAAUAGGGAUAGUUGGGGGCAUUAGUAUUCAAUUGUCAGAGGUGAAAUUCUUGGAUUUAUUGAAGACUAACUACUGCGAAAGCAUUUGCCAAGGAUGUUUUCAUUAAUCAAGAACGAAAGUUAGGGGAUCGAAGACGAUCAGAUACCGUCGUAGUCUUAACCAUAAACUAUGCCGACUAGGGAUCGGAUGAUGUUAAUUUUUUAAUGACUCAUUCGGCGCCUUACGGGAAACCAAAGUGUUUGGGUUC